rnacentral:tRNA from 1 species
GGUGCAUUCGUCUAGAGGUCUAGGACGCCGCCCUCUCACGGCGGAAACUCGGGUUCGAAUCCCGGACGCACUA